AUAAUAAUAAAUAUUGAAACCUCAAAAUGAUCAAUUUCCCCAGAAGUUUUAUUAAAUGUGUUUGUUGUCGAAGCUGUAAAUCAAUGCAAGACCACAUCAGUGUUAUGAGGCAGCAGUUGCAGUAGCAUGAGAUAAGUGAUGGUGAGGCAGGCACUUAAUAAAUAUGCAGCAUUACUGAGAAUGAGGCCAAAACAAUUAUUAUAUAAUAUUUAUCUAUUAUUACCAAAGAAAUAGCUACAUAGUGAACAACUCUGUAAUGAUUUGAAUCUGCUGGCUUUAGUUGAAUCAGUGCUGAUUUGACUUGGACUCAAGUGAAAAAAUGUUUGACUCGAGUGUAACACGUUUGUAUAGCAGCGACUUGAGUCUUCCUUGUCCUGUCUGGCUCUCUCAGGUUCAUGCCUGGAUAUUCGCAGGGGGCGGUCUGCACCAGAGCAACAAGUGGACCUGAAGAGUGAGGAGGGCCGUGAGCUGCGUGUGGUGGUAAACACCAACGAACCGGACUACGAGCACAUUUACUCCAUCGAGGCCCAUGACGACCCCUUGGAUGAACUGCUCUACUUCACUCCUUCUGCCAAUCAGAGUGACGGUGAAGCUGUUGGCAAGGAAUCAGAGAACAGGGGUGAAGUUGAACCGAACAAAUCAGCCAGUACUAACAUUAAGAAAACAGCAACAGGUGGUGAUCAGAAAUCAGACAAAGUCACACCUCUGAAGGCAGUCAAGCCCAGAUCAGUCAGGUCCCUGAGGACAGUCAAAGGGGAAGCUCCAGCAGCCCUGUGCCAGCUGCCCUUGGAGGAAGGGAGCUGUGGACGAUACACUUUGCGCUGGUACUUUAAUAGUCAGGCUCAGGCCUGCAGGCCCUUCAUUUACAGCGGCUGUGAAGGAAACGAAAACCGCUUCGUCCUGCUGGAAGAGUGUGAGGAGGUCUGCCUUGGGAAGGCCAAAGGUAUGCAAACACACACACUAGUUUAUGUCAGGUAUUGAAUGUAUUCGGCCUAACAAAUGAUCUGUUGUGC